rnacentral:rRNA from 1 species
UACGUAGGGUGCAAGCGUUGUCCGGAAUUAUUGGGCGUAAAGAGCUCGUAGGCGGUCUGUCGCGUCUGCUGUGAAAACUCGGGGCUUAACCCCGGGCCUGCAGUGGGUACGGGCAGACUAGAGUGCGGUAGGGGAGACUGGAAUUCCUGGUGUAGCGGUGAAAUGCGCAGAUAUCAGGAGGAACACCGGUGGCGGAAGGCGGGUCUCUGGGCCGUAACU